rnacentral:rRNA from 1 species
UACGUAGGGUGCAAGCGUUAAUCGGAAUUACUGGGCGUAAAGCGUGCGCAGGCGGUUGUGCAAGACAGAUGUGAAAUCCCCGGGCUUAACCUGGGAACUGCAUUUGUGACUGCACAGCUGGAGUGCGGCAGAGGGGGGAUGGAAUUCCGCGUGUAGCAGUGAAAUGCGUAGAUAUGCGGAGGAACACCGAUGGCGAAGGCAAUCCCCUGGGCCUGCACUGACGCUCAUGCACGAAAGCGUGGGGAGCAAAAGGG